CCUACGGGAGGCAGCAGUAAGGAAUUUUGCGCAAUGGACGAAAGUCUGACGCAGCAACGCCGCGUGAUCGAUGAAGCUUCUAGGAGUGUAAAGAUCUGUCGUAAGGGAAGAAAAACCUGGAUGUAAAUAAUGUUCAGAUUUGACGGUACCUUUCAAGAAAGCACCGGCUAACUUCGUGCCAGCAGCCGCGGUAAUACGAGGGGUGCUAGCGUUGUCCGGAAUAACUGGGCGUAAAGGGUCCGUAGGCGUUUUACCAAGUUGAUUGUUAAAUCCACCGGCUUAACCGGUGACCUGCAAUCAAAACUGGUAGAAUAGAAUAUGUGAGAGGAAUGUGGAAUUCCUGGUGUAGCGGUGACAUGCGUAGAUAUCAGGAGGAACACCGAUGGCGAAGGCAGCAUUCUGGCACAAUAUUGACGCUGAGGGACGAAAGCGUGGGGAGCGAACAGGAUUAGAUACCCUGGUAGUCCACGCCGUAAACGAUGAGUACUUGAUGGUGGAGGAUUCGACCCUUUCACUAUCGGAGCUAACGCGUUAAGUACUCCGCCUGGGGACUACGGCCGCAAGGCUGAAACUCAAAGGAAUUGACGG
rnacentral:rRNA from 1 species